rnacentral:misc_RNA from 1 species
GUAUGUGAACCUGCGGAAGGAUCAUUAACACGUUUCCAUAACCUUUAUUAACCCAUCUGAGAACAUGUGUGGUUUUUGGCCUCCUUUCUCUGACGAGAUUGUGUACGGGUCAAAGACUCUCGUUUGAUUGGAAGCUGGGCUUCAGGUUGUGAAUGAUUUAGUUCAUUCAUUAUAUCAGGAGUCUAGUCUUUCCUAUCAAGCAUUUUUUUCUUUCUCACCCCUAGAAAGUACUCGAUGUUGUUUUCUUCGG